GAUGUACGCUAGCGGCAGGCAUAAUACAUGCAAGUUGAACGGGAUUCAGAUAGCAAUAUUUGAUGAGAGUGGCGCACGGGUGCGUAACACGUAUGCAACUUACCUUAAACUGGGAGAUAGCCCGUGGAAACAUGGAUUAAUAUCCCAUAGUAUAAAGAACAGGCAUUUGUUUUUUAUUAAAGCUCCGGCGGUUUAAGAUGGGCAUGCGCGUCAUUAGCUAGAUGGAGAGGUAACGGCUCACCAUGGCAACGAUGACUAGGGGGUCUGAGAGGAUGUCCCCCCACACUGGUACUGAGACACGGACCAGACUCCUACGGGAGGCAGCAGUAGGGAAUAUUGGGCAAUGGACGCAAGUCUGACCCAGCCAUGCCGCGUGCAGGAAGACGGCCCUCUGGGUUGUAAACUGCUUUUAUCAGGGAGAAACCCUUCUACGUGUAGGAGGCUGACGGUACCUGAGGAAUAAGGAUCGGCUAACUCCGUGCCAGCA
rnacentral:rRNA from 1 species